rnacentral:rRNA from 1 species
GACAGAGGUUGCAAACGUUGUUCGGAAUUACUGGGCGUAAAGGGCUCGUAGGUGGCCAACUAAGUCAGACGUGAAAUCCCUCGGCUUAACCGGGGAACUGCGUCUGAUACUGGAUGGCUUGAGUUUGGGAGAGGGACGCGGAAUUCCAGGUGUAGCGGUGAAAUGCGUAGAUAUCUGGAGGAACACCGGUGGCGAAGGCGGCGUCCUGGACCAACACUGACACUGAGGAGCGAAAGCCAGGGGAGCAAACGGG